UACGAGGGGGGCGAGCGUUGUUCGGAAUUAUUGGGCGUAAAGGGCGCGUAGGCGGUGCGGUAAGUCACCUGUGAAACCUCUAGGCUUAACCUAGAGCCUGCAGGCGAAACUGCCGUGCUGGAGUGUGGGAGAGGUGCGUGGAAUUCCCGGUGUAGCGGUGAAAUGCGUAGAUAUCGGGAGGAACAUCAGUGGCGAAGGCGGCUGCCUGGCCCAAUACUGACACUCAGGUGCGACAGCGUGGGGAGCAAACAGG
rnacentral:rRNA from 1 species